GAUGAACGCUAGCGGCAGGCCUAAUACAUGCAAGUCGAACGAGAUUAAGGGGCUUGCUCCUUAUGAAAGUGGCGCACGGGUGCGUAACGCGUAUGCAACCUACCUCAAUCAGGGGGAUAGCCCGAAGAAAUUCGGAUUAACACCGCAUAAAAACACAGGAUAGCAUUAUCUAAUGUUCGAAUAUUUAUAGGAUUGAGAUG
rnacentral:rRNA from 1 species